UCCGAUUAAAUCUCAGACGCGUUUCAACAGCACGCUAAUUUUGGACCCUUGCCCCCCAUGCGCGUGUCUGUUUGGGUAUGAAAUGCUGAGGGGUCUUCGGAAAUGGCCCUCUGCCUUUGGUGACUGACCUUCCCUCUUGAGCAGCUGAAGUGAGACAGACAAGGUGAAUCUCUGCUGACUUUUCUGUGGCUGCAUCUGUGCACAGUGCGCGUAGUCCUGCUGUGACCCUCCACACGCCGCGCCUGGAUGCCACGUGAGCAGCUGCUGUGGCCAGGACGUCUGCGGCCUCUUCAUGUCAUCCUUAGGGCAGCCGAUGAGGGGACAGCAUAAGAUAGAACCUGUGGCUGUCCCCACUGAAGAGGCUGACGCUCCAGAAGGAGGUUGGGCCAAGGCUGCAAAGAAAGGGCUUUUGCUGUCAUGGAGAGGGCUGGUGUGGCUCGAGCAGCCACAGAGGAGGGUUCAGCUGGACAGAGGCUGCCUGAAGUCGUGAGUGCUGAUGUCUCCUGAGAGAGUUCGUUCCUGGCUCGAUGCUGGACCCCUGGUGAUGGUGUUGAAUAAAGCCUCGUGGAAGCCAUCAGACCCCUCCUUACGGUAACACUGGUGUGUAGUUAAUGGAUCCUUAAUAUUCUGGUGAAGCAGCCACUCAUUGUGGUAUUUGGUAAAGAACCAAGUCUAAGGAACUAUUAAUGCCCCAUCUGACGUGGAUUUAUUCAGAAGGGCAUUACAGAGGUGUUUUAUUACUUGGCAUGAGAGGAACCCGGCCUACGUGACUGACAUGGGCAGCCAAGAAUGCCUUGGGGAUCAGUGAUUGGCGGGGGAAGAAGAGGAAUUGCGGGGAGCACAAGAGGGGAGAGAUACUCACGGCAGACUCAGGGUCAUGCGGGAGGGUGCCCAGGUGGGAACCGGCCACUCCUGAAUGCUGACGCUUCAGGUCACAGACAGGAAGCCGCCCAGUGAAGUCCUUGCCACCACUGAGGGUCAUGACAGCCCUCGCUUUCCAGCAUCUGCUGACGAGUG